rnacentral:rRNA from 1 species
AGUCGAACGGCAGCACGGGAGCUUGCUUCUGGUGGCGAGUGGCGAACGGGUGAGUAAUGUAUCGGAACGUACCCAGUCGUGGGGGAUAACUCUCCGAAAGGAGAGCUAAUACCGCAUACGUCCUGAGGGGGAAAGCGGGGGACCUAAGGGUAACUGAGGGCCUCGCGCGAUUGGAGCGGCCGAUAUCGGAUUAGCUAGUUGGUGGGGUAAAGGCUCACCAAGGCGACGAUCCGUAGCGGGUCUGAGAGGACGACCCGCCACACUGGAACUGAGACACGGUCCAGACUCCUACGGGAGGCAGCAGUGGGGAAUUUUGGACAAUGGGGGCAACCCUGAUCCAGCCAUUCCGCGUGAGUGAAGAAGGCCUUCGGGUUGUAAAGCUCUUUCAGCAGGAGCGAAACGGUCGUUUUUAAUACAGACGGCUAAUGACGGUACCUGCAGAAGAAGCACCGGCUAACUCCGUGCCAGCAGCCGCGGUAAU